rnacentral:rRNA from 1 species
CGACCGGCGCACGGGUGCGUAACGCGUAUGCAACCUACUUUAACAGGGGGAUAACACUGAGAAAUUGGUACUAAUACCCCAUAAUAUCAUAGAAGGCAUCUUUUAUGGUUGAAAAUUCCGAUGGUUAGAGAUGGGCAUGCGUUGUAUUAGCUAGUUGGUGGGGUAACGGCUCACCAAGGCGACGAUACAUAGGGGGACUGAGAGGUUAACCCCCACACUGGUACUGAGACACGGACCAG